GGGGAGGCCCCGCGCCGCCGGCUGUGUGGUGGCGGUGCUGCCUCGGCUCUGGGAGGGUUUGCUUGAUCGGCUGCCCAUCAGUAACGCGGUUUUCCAACUUUUACAGGUUCAGAGUGCUACCUGCCAUUAUAUCCAUCAAUUUCAAACUGCCAAGCUCAUUGCUUCUGCUGCUGACAUUUUGCUAUUCAAUUCUGGAGUCUGAACAACGACAUGUGGUGUUGUUUGUACUCUGGGCUGCUCUAAAUACUCACACAAAAUGGUAAACUUUUGGUGCCUCUCUGCCGGAAUCUGCAUCAUUAAGUGUUGACAGCUCUAAAAGCAGAACAAGCUGACUGAGGCAGAUCCUGUCUGUUCAGAACCUUCCCUGCAGGUUACCAGCCACCCCCCAGGACAUCUAAAUGUCUUGUGUUCCUGUUACAGAACUGCUGCAGUUUGCAAUACAGUUUGUUAAAAGACCCUGAAAUUAGUAAUGUUUUCAUAAAGUUGGUGGUAAACUGCUGUUAUUCAAGAGUUAUUCUUUGGGCCAUCACUGCUUGCUCAGAAGAAAGGCAGGAGAGCAGCACACAGUCUCCCUAGAUUCAGGCAUCCCAAUCUUUACUGCUUUUGUGCAGCUGAUUGGGUCACUCAACAGUGCUGCUAACAUGCCAUGUGAAUACAACCACAAGAGCU